rnacentral:rRNA from 1 species
AAAUGAAUUGACGGGAGCUCACACAAGCGGUGGAGCAUGUUGCUUAAUUCGAGGCAACGCGAAGAACCUUACCUGGGUUUGACAUGCUUGGAUUAACCUCUUGAAAGAGAGGCCACGCCCUUUGGGUGGAACAAGCACAGGUGCUGCAUGGCUGUCGUCAGCUCGUGCUGUGAAGUGUCGGGUUAAGUCCCUUAACGAGCGCAACCCCUGUCGUUAGUUGCUCACAGGUAAUGCUGAGUACUCUAACGAGACUGCCGGUGUCAAACCGGAGGAAGGUGGGGAUGACGUCAAGUCCUCAUGGCCCUUACAUCCAGGGUUGCAAACGUGCUACAAUGGUGCAUACAGAGCGACGCGAGGCCGCGAGGCGGAGCAAAUCGCAAAAAAUGCACCCCAGUUCGGAUUGCAGGCUGCAAUUCGCCUGCAUGAAGUCGGAAUCGCUAGUAAUCGGAGAUCAGCUACGCUCCGGUGAAUAUGUUCCUGAGCUUUGUACACACCGCCCGU